UACGUAGGGUGCAAGCGUUAAUCGGAAUUACUGGGCGUAAAGCGUGCGUAGGUGGUUGAUUAAGUUAUCUGUGAAAUCCCUGGGCUUAACCUGGGCAGGUCAGAUGAUACUGGUUGACUCGAGUAUGGGAGAGGGUAGUGGAAUUUCCGGUGUAGCGGUGAAAUGCGUAGAGAUCGGAAGGAACACCAGUGGCGAAGGCGGCUACCUGGCCUAAUACUGACACUGAGGCACGAAAGCGUGGGGAGCAAACAGGG
rnacentral:rRNA from 1 species